rnacentral:lncRNA from 1 species
UGUUUUGAAGGAGAUUGUGAGCCUCAAUAGUCUCCAAACACAAGGAUCCAGAUAAUUGUUUUCCCCUUGGAGUACAUUGAGGGACAACGAUUUUAGAGAACAUGCCUUGGGUGGAAAAAUAUGCAUGUAUUUCCAAACCACUGUGCAAAUGUAUUUUUAAGGAUGGGAGUUCCGUUUUACUUUGAUUUUCACAUGUUUACUUUGUCGUGGUCAUUGUUACAUUUAAAGCUGAGUUCCCACAAAAAUAUUGGUGGGCUCUGGCAGUUGCAUUGGCUCCGUGGGUCAUAGAGUCGGCUUUGAUACCAUCGCCUCACACAUUUAGUUAGGUAAACAUGAUUCGCAGAGGGCUGAACGCAUCUCCGGAACCAGACAUUUGGCAUUAAAAACCAAAGAUCAUGUAAUUACUAAAGUGAUCGGAUCAGGCUCUGAUUUCAUUUUUAAGUGCUUGCUUAUUGUUUCUUAAUAGUUUCAUUGGAUAUUUCAUAAACAUUUACUCUUAAUAGGUUGGUCUAUAUCCGGAGAGCACUUGUGGGCAGUACUGUUCAGUGAACCUCUGCUUCUCUCCUGCACAGUGUCUUAAGUUGGCCCCAGGAGCAGUGUCUGAAAUAGAGAUAGACAGUCAAGUGCUGGGAUUAGAGAUAUGAACCACUGCACCUGGCCUUCUUUCAGCACUUUGAAUGUGUCAUUACA